rnacentral:ncRNA from 1 species
AUAAAAAAGCAAAACUGUCGAAAGGCAGUGACGCAAAGCUAAGAGCCUAAGGUGCAAAUGCACUCUGCUCGCCCGGUUGC